AACAAGUCUCCCUAGUACUUUUGACUUUCCUGCUUCUGCUUACUCUGUUCUACACCUGGCAUUAUUUCAGGGGAAUUCAGCCUGGCCCUGGGAAUGAGAAUGAUACAAAUACAAUAUUCUAGGGAAAGUUCUGGGGAAAAACAUCUACUAGGGAAAGAACAUUCUGACCCGUCCUUCGGUCAGGUGAAGCGAUGGGAGUGGAGAGGGAACAAAGAAAUCUGUGGCCCCCACAGAUCUCUCUGGGAGGACGGUGGUUGCCACGGCCCAUUGAGUCAGGAGGCCACUGGGGGUAGCCUCCUUGAAGUACAGAAUUACAGAAGCUUGACUCCCCCCGGGCCUGCACACAAUCAAUUGCUCUUAGGACUAUUGUCUACCUUACAAUCAAUUACUCUUAGGACUAUUGUCUACCUUGCAAAAACCCGCUUACGUGAGCCAAAGAUAUGUACUGGGACUGUUUCAUGAAAUCAUCCUUGCAUACCCUGAGCCCUAUAUAAAUCAUACAUACACAAAAUAAAGUUAGACUUGGACACUAAACUCCUUGUCUCACUGCCUCCUCCCUCGCCGACGCUGUCCAUCCCUCAGGAGACCCUGUUCGGCUGGGGCUGGACCCCGGCAGUUCACAUGUUUCUGUUGGAUGGUUCCGGUGUGUCCAGUGGGUAGUUCUGGCAUGUCCGGCAGGUUUUUCUGGCCUGUCUGGAAGAUGAUUCUGGCGCAUUCUAGACUUGAUACCAGCAUGACCAGCAGGUGAUUCACACAAGUCUGGCAGGUUGUUCAGGCUUGUCCAGCAGGUGGUUCUGGUGUUUCCAGCACCUGGGCCCGGCAUAUCCAACGUGUGGUUCCAACGUGUCCGGUGUUUGCUUCUGGGGUGUCUGGCAGUGGAUUCCUACAUUUCCGGUGGGUGAUUCCGGCAUGUCCGGCAAGUGGCUACAGCGUGUCCGAGACCUGAUUGCAUCGGGACGGGUUGGUGGUUUCGGCAUGUCCAGGUGGUGGUUCCAGCAUUUCUGGCAGGUAUUUCCAGUCUGUCCGGAAUUUGGUUAUGGCAUAUCUGGGACCUGGUCCUGGCACAUCUGGCCGGUGAUUUCAGUGUGUCCAGCAGGCUGCUGUGGCAUGUCUGGCAGGUGGUUCUCGCUUUUUUCUGGCAGGUGGAUCUACUGUGUCCGGCACCUGGUUCUGGCAUAUCCAACAGGUGGUUCCAGAGAUUCCGGCAGGUGGAUCCAGGGUGUCAGGUAGGUGGUUCCGGCAUGUCCGGCCACUGGUUCAGCCGUGUUUGGUGGGUGGAUCAGUGCUAUCCAGCAGGUGGAUCAGUCGUGUCUGGCGGUUGGUUUCUGCAUAUCUGGGGGUUGUUCCGGCCUGUCAGUCAGUUGGUUCCAGUGUGUCCAGAAGAUGGUUCCGUUGUGUCCGGUGGGUGAUUUUCCACUUCCUGUAUGUGAUUCCAGCGUGUCCAGAAGGUGCUUCCAGCCUGUCCGAGACCUGAUUCUGGAGUCUCCAAUGUCUGGUUCCAGAGUGUCUGGGUGGUGGUUCCGACAUGUCUGGCAUUUGGUUCUAGCGUGUCAGGCAGGUGGUUCACUGCCGGGAGCCAUCAGCCUAAAAGUUAAGCCUCUGCCUUGUGACACGGGCCAGGAGAGAGAUGAGGGGAUGCACGGCGACCCUCAAGGGAAUCUACCAGGCUGCCCCUGCAACAAGUCUCCCUAGUACUUUUGACUUUCCUGCUUCUGCUUACUCUGUUCUACACCUGGCAUUAUUUCAGGGGAAUUCAGCCCGGCCCUGGGAAUGAGAAUGAUACAAUACAAUAUUCUAGGGAAAGUUCUGGGGAAAAACAUCUACUAGGGAAAGAACAUUCUGACCCGUCCUUUGGUCAGGUGAAGCGAUGGGAGUGGAGAGGGAACAAAGAAAUCUGUGGCCCCCACAGAUCUCUCUGGGAGGACGGUGGUUGCCGCGGCCCAUUGAGUCAGGAGGCCACUGGGGGUAGCCUCCUUGAAGUACAGAAUUACAGAAGCUUGACUCCCCCCGGGCCUGCACACAAUCAAUUGCUCUUAGGACUAUUGUCUACCUUACAAUCAAUUACUCUUAGGACUGUUGUCUACCUUGCAAAAACCCGCUUACGUGAGCCAAAGAUAUGUACUGGGACUGUUUCAUGAAAUCAUCCUUGCAUACCCUGAGCCCUAUAUAAAUCAUACAUACACAAAAUAAACUUAGACUUGGACACUAAACUCCUUGUCUCACUGCCUCCUCCCUCGCCGACGCUGUCCAUCCCUCAGGAGACCCUGUUCGGCUGGGGCUGGACCCCGGCAGUUCACAUGUUUCUGUUGGAUGGUUCCGGUGUGUCCAGUGGGUAGUUCUGGCAUGUCCGGCAGGUUGUUCAGGCAUGUCUGUCAGCUGGUCCAGGUGCAUCAAGCACAUGGUCAAGGAAUGGCCCUUCUGAGGUCCACAUAUUUCUGAAACAUGGUUCUCAUGUGUCCAAAAGGUGUGUUGGGCAUGUCUGG
ensembl:lncRNA